rnacentral:rRNA from 1 species
AUUGAACGCUGGCGGCAGGCCUAACACAUGCAAGUCGAACGAGUGGCGGACGGGUGAGUAAUGUCUGGGAAACUGCCCGAUGGAGGGGGAUAACUACUGGAAACGGUAGCUAAUACCGCAUACCAUCGGAUGUGCCCAGAUGGGAUUAGCUAGUAGGUGGGGUACCGCCUCACCUAGACGACGAUCCCUAGCUGUGCUGAGAGGAUGACAAGCCACACGGGAACGGAGACACGGUCCAGACUCCUACGGGAGGAAGCAGUGGGUAAUAUUGCACAAUGGGCGCAAGCCUGAUGCAGCCAUGCCGCGUGGUGGAAGAAGGCCUUCGGGUUGUAAAGCACUUUCAGCGGGGAGGCGUUACCCGCAGAAGAAGCACCGGCUAACUCCGUGCCAGCAGCCGCGGUAAUAC